AUGCAAGUCGAACGGCAGCACGGUACUUCGGUCUGGUGGCGAGUGGCGAACGGGUGAGUAAUGUAUCGGAACGUGCCUAGUAGCGGGGGAUAACUACGCGAAAGCGUAGCUAAUACCGCAUACGCCCUACGGGGGAAAGCAGGGGAUCGCAAGACCUUGCACUAUUAGAGCGGCCGAUAUCGGAUUAGCUAGUUGGUGGGGUAACGGCUCACCAAGGCGACGAUCCGUAUCUGGUUUGAGAGGACGACCAGCCACACUGGGACUGAGACACGGCCCAGACUCCUACGGGAGGCAGCAGUGGGGAAUUUUGGACAAUGGGGGAAACCCUGAUCCAGCCAUCCCGCGUGUGCGAUGAAGGCCUUCGGGUUGUAAAGCACUUUUGGCAUGAAAGAAACGUCUCGGGCUAAUACCCCGUGAAACUGACGGUACCUGCACAAUAAGCACCGGCUAACUACGUGCCAGCAGCCGCGGUAAUACGUAUGGUGCAAGCGUUAAUCGGAAUUACUGGUCGUAAAGCGUGCGCAGGCGGUUCGGAAAGAAAGAUGUGAAAUCCCAGAGCUUAACUUUGGAACUGCAUUUUUAACUACCGGGCUAGAGUGUGUCAGAGGGAGGUGGAAUUCCGCGUGUAGCAGUGAAAUGCGUAGAUAUGCGGAGGAAC
rnacentral:rRNA from 1 species